rnacentral:misc_RNA from 1 species
UUAACUGUUAUAUAGUACUCAGACAGUAAAUAUUACAGAGUUGUGGUCCUCUGGCAGGCACUCUCAGGCCGAAGCCUGCGCUUUCGCGGCCCACCAAAGCAACAAGUGAAUAAAAUCAAGGGUGAGAAGGACCGGUUGCCCGGCUUCAUUUGUAAUGAUCCUUCCGCAGGUUCACCUACGGAAA